CACUGGGGAUUUCAGUUUUAUAGGCAGUCAGGAUCGAGUCUCUGAAAUUAUUUGAUUUGGGAAUGGGAUAAAAAAUUGAUAAUAUCUGGUUUGUAGAUUAGCCCUGGGUAGGGAAAUACUAAUUUCAAAUAUCAUUCAUCUUCCCCUUUAUUUCAGCUCUCUGAGCUGUAAUGAAAUUAGGUGAGAGGACUGAGUCCAGCUUGGAGAAGCUCGGAGGAGUUUAUACACUGAACUGGCAAAUUAAUCUGUGAACAGCCCACAUUCCAGCACUGAUUUAGUCAAUAUUCAGUGAAUGAGAAGGCAGAGGCUCUCUUUGGCCUGGAACUCCCUUAUUUGGUUAAGUUUGCUGGCUGGUGAGCCCGAGGGAUCCACUAGCCUCUGUCUUCACAACCCUGGGAUUAUUUACAUGUGCCGGAUAUCCUGUUUUGGGGAGAGGUCAAACAUCUGUGCUCAAGAGCACGAACUUGAACAUCACAUGUCUCAUUAAAGUCCUGCUUGGCUACAGAAGAACCACUGGCUCCAUUUUGGGGAAUGGGAGGAGGGGCAUGAUUGUGCUAUGGACCUUGGUUCACUCUGUCACUCUUUCAUCUUCUUGCCUUUACAAGAUACAACAGAGGCAAGGCACCAUGUCAUCACUGAACUGGUGAACUGCCAUUGGGGAUAACAAAGCAGAGUGCUGUGUUACUCUUGAUAAAGUGAGGCACAUGUGUGGGUCUCACUCGACAUUAGUGUGACCAGCACACAUUAGAAGAUAAUUGGAGGAUACAAAGAUUUCUCAGUACUUUCUCUUAUUCAUCAUCUAGGAAGUUUGAUGAUGGCUCUUUACCGAGUGGCUGUGCUGUAUGGCACAACAAGUGGGACCCUAAGGAAAAAUGGAAGAGUGAAUUGUCUUGAAAAACAGUGAAAUUAAAACAAAACAGUCACACAGUCACACAGUACACAGGAGGAGCUGUGUCUGUGCAGACCCACACUAGCAAAACACAAUGCAAGCUUAAUGUCAUUCAGUACCUAAGAUACUCCUGGGUCCAAGAGACACACAUAUUCCAUUGUGAUGAACUCAGCUAAGAGUCAUCUUAUUCCACUCCUGUGGGGAUUACUGCAAAGCAGAAUAAAAUCCUAAGUUGGAGAUUUUCUUUUUAUUAGGGUAAUGUGAAUUUUAAAUAUAAAAUUUACCAAACAUCAGUAGGCUGUGGCUCUUCAUGACGUUUUAACACCAGACUGUAAGAUGGCCUGUAGCAAACACUGGGGGAGCUCACAGUCGGGAAGUAAAGGAAUUAACAUGUGUUCAAUGAACUUCAGGCAUUGAGCAUUAUGCAGAGGACUUUACAUGAGUUAUCCUACACAAUGCUCAGGCCUGUCUCAUGAAGGAAAAUUGUUUCCUAUGUCCUAUCAUCAGACAGCCAAAGUUGUAUCUCCAAGAC